ensembl:lncRNA
GGACCCGCGAGCCCCGCCCCUGGCCCACGAGUUCCGCCCCAGGCGCGGCUGAGGCCCGAGGAGCCACCGGCGAGCGUGAUGCGCAGCUGAGGGCUGGGAGCUUUCGGCGUCGGCGGGCUUGUCCGCAUCCCCAGUAUCCCGCGGGUCGAAGGCCGGCGUCAGCGUCUUUACAGCCUCUAAAGGAUGAGGUCUGGGUGAGCCGUGGCCGCGUGCAGGGUCCCUGGGGCCGUGGGAGGAAGGUGAGGCACGGCCUGAGUCGGCGGCCUGCUUCUGAGCUCCCUGCCGCGCCCCAGGCCGGGCGGGUCCAGCUCCCCGCGGUCCAGGCGCUGCACCAGGGCCCUGGCGUCGCUGUGUGCUGUUCUUGGGCGCAGAGGGGCCGCCCCACGGUGGAGGUGGGGUCGCUGCAGCCCCCAAAGGUAGAUCAGCUUUUCUUCCCCGUGUCCCGUGGCCCUGACCCCCACACCUAACGGAAGCCGGCGUCGGGAUAAUGCGAGGUCGGUCGAGGCUCAGACUUUCUGAGCUCAGGUAAGUUUCCAAAGUGAGCCUCAAACUUGAGAGGGGAAGGGAGUUGGGGUGCGGAGGGAAGGCUGCGCGGCUCCUGCAGGCCCCGCUCCCGCACGCCCGUAGGAUCCCGACGGAGGGUCAGGGUACGAAGGCCGGACGAGCCGUCCCCCUUUCACUCGGCCGAGCAGCUGUGGCUCCGGUCUCUCUUGCAGCUUUAGGCAUGGGGACCGCAUUCCACCUUCGGAUUUGUAUCGGAUUUCCAUCGUUGCUUUGAUGUUACUGUUCCCUUCGUGGAUAGAGGACUGGGAGAAAUGGAGGAGGUGGGGAUGUGAGAUGCUGAGUGUCAGGCUCGUGGAGCGCCUAGGAUCGUGGCAGGCGGGCCUGACUCACCUCAGUGCUUGUUCAGAAGCGGGGUGCGGUGGGCCCGAGUCGGAAACCGCGGGGAGACAGGUGUGGUGAGCGCCUUCGUCCACCAGGGGCGCCUCGGCCAAGGCGGCGGGAGGAGCCCGGUCCCCGGGUUUGGCCCAGGAACGUGCCCGCCAUCCCGUGGUCUCCACCCCACGCCCGUCUCCAGGCGCACGGUCCGCUCGCCCUCAGCCACCACUCGGCGCCACCUGCAGCUCCUGGUGGGCCCCCAGCUCCCGGUCCGAGCAGGCUCCGCCUGCGGGAAGCGCGGCGCCGGACGCUUUCUCAGCCAAGGACGCCGGGACAGGCGCGAGCGGAAUCGAGGGCUAGCGGUUUGGUGACCCUCGCUUGGUUGUUCCGGAGCCUUUGAGGGAGAGGGCAGCACAGAGGAGACGGCGAGGGGCACCGGGCACCAGGGCUCCUCCAGCGCCCGAGACUAACCUGUGGCAGUGGUAAGCGUGUGAGGGCCGGGGUUUCCUGGCGAGGGGGUCGCUGGGGAGCAGAGGACACGGGUGAGACACGGCCUGACACCCCACAUCUGCCCGAGCAGCGAAGUCUCCACGAACUGGCGUCCACUCCCUACCCCACCCCGGUCCUGCUCCAGUGUCCGAAUGCCACCCCCCCCCCCCCCCGCUCUUUCCAUGCUCCUUCAUCUCAGGUGGGAAGUGAGAACAGUUGUUCAUUCCACCUAACUUAGGCCAGGGAGCGGGGCCCCAGGUCAGGGAGUCCAUUCUGCAGCCCGCUCCCCAGGCUUCCCCCAAGGGCCGGUUCGGUGCCUUCUCGCCUGGUCCUCCAUGUGGUCCGCCUCUCCCCGCCCGACAGGGGAGCCAGUGUCCACGCGGGCCCUGCUGGGGAGGGUGACUCCGGAUAAGCCUUCUCUAACUGGCAGAGAAAACAAGUCUUGGCCUUGAUAACCACAGGCUGCGCAUUAAAAGCAAACACGUUGUCCUCGUCCCUAACGACCGUCAGUGGUUCUGGGUCAUCCGUGGGGAAGAGAAAGGGAUUGGUUUCUCUUGGCAACAGAAGCCCCCCCCCCCCCAGGGGAAGGGGCCCCUCCUGGCCCAGAGUGCUGGGACUGUGCUGCUGCAGGACUCUCAGCGGGCAGACUGAGUCUCAGGGCACAGCAAAGGCAUCCUCUCCAGGCAGCAGUAGGCCCCUUGUGGGGAAACGCGGAUGGAACGGAGCCCUAAAUCCUGCGCUGUGGCUUUGGAGAAACAAGUUCUGAUUCUGUCUUUCACUUAAGUCACGUGGCCGGGGACACAUACCUCUCCUUCCUGAGGUUCCAGGGCCUCACGAUCCACACCAGAUGCCCACAUAGUGAGCCAGAGUCCUGUGCUGCCAGAGCCAUCUUUGAUGACUUCCACAUGACCCUGGGACUCCACCUUUCGGCUGUCCUGACCCCGCAGGGAGGGGUUGGCCAGAGAGCUAGCUGCACCUGGUACCCGGUAGGUCAGCUUAUACCAACCUCAGAGACUGACCGGCUCCUUCUCCUUGUCUCAAUUUUCCCUCUAUCUCUGAGCAAUGAAAAAAUAAAUUUAUCUAUUUCUACUACUUUAGAAUACUUUUAAAUUUCAGGAAUUACCUGAGUUUCAAAUAAUAAAAUAAAUCCACAUGAGCCCAUCCUCAGUUGGCUCAGUGGCCAUUUACCCACAUAGGGUCUGCGUUCCUGUAAAGAGAGGAUUCUCCAGCUUUGUGUUUCUUACUUUCCCCUAAUGGCAGCAAGCAGCCAUCAGUCCCCACUUAGAGCUCUUCGCAGCAUUUCCAUCCAUGCCAUUGAGGAGCCUGAUUCAGUCUUUCUUCCUGUCAGCCUGGAGGUUGUCUGGAAGUAGAGCAUGGGAGGAAAUAGAGAGCCUAGAGGGGUUAAGCAAGGAAACCAGGACUGCGCAGCACGGCGCUGAUUUGAAAUGCCUGGGAGAGGGGAGCUGGACUUGUUCCUCAUACGCCUGCUAUGCCAAGGAGGAACAAACACAUCGAGAGGCCUUUCCGCUUCCCUAUAGUGGUUCUAGUCCAGCACUGUCUGGUAGAAACACAACAGUAGACACAAAUGUGAACAGUUUUAAAUUUUCUAGUAGUCACAUUCAAAAAGCAAAAAAAAAAGGUAAAAUUAAUUUGCAUUAUAUAUUUUGUUACAGUCAAUAUUUUUUAAAAUAUUGUCAUUUCAACAUGUAGAAUUAAAAAAUUACUGUUAUCGAGCAUGGUGGCAGGGCCCUGUAGUCCCACUACUCAGGUUGAGGUGGAAGGAUCAUUUGAGCCCCAGCUUGAGACCAGCCUGGACAACAUAGACAGACCCUAUAUUAAAGAAGAUAUUGCUAUAUUUUACAUCCUUUUUUUGUGGUACUGAGGAUUGAAACUAAGGCCUUCACACUGAGCUGCAUCCCUCCCUCCAUCCUUUGAGACAGGGUCUCACUAAGUUGCCCAGGCUGGGCUCAAACUGUGUGAUCCUCUUCCUCAGGGAGAGGUAUAUCCAUAUUCCUGUCUCUUUUCUUACCCAGUCCUGCGGAACUGACGUGUAUUUUUCACUUACAGCGAGUCUGAGUUCGGAUGAGCUACAUUGCAGGGCCCAGGGGCACGUGUGGCUUGGGCAGCACACAUCUAGCCCCUUGUUCACCUAACAAGCAAGGAAGAAAUCCUGAGACUGCUCGCUCCUGUGUGUGGCUCACAAUCCCACCCUUCUUCCUGUGGAAGAGGACUUAGGGGCAGGACAAGCGCCAUGGGGCAGAAGCUCAGUGCCCCUUCUCUCCUUCCAAAGCUGGGGAGAGUGGCCUGGAUUUCCCAUCAGGGCACUGGUCUGGGUGGAAAGCUGUAGUUUGCAGCCCCAGAUGGGGGGUUUCCUCCAGGCCCCUGUGCCUCCCAGCAGAGCCUUCGGCUCCUGGAGGGCAUGCAAUGGCCCAGUGGUCAGUAGAGGCAGGAUCACAGGCAGCUUCCUGAGAGCCAGUAGCCCAGCCUGGGGUACACACAUGGGGGAUCAGCAACCCUCAUACGAGGGCUCUGAAACUUAAAGCCAGAGGAGGCAUUGGCUGGGCUCUUCACCUACUAGGCCCUUUAGUCAUCUGCUGAUGGAGCAACCACCCUCAGGAGAGAGAACUGUGGGGAUGACAGGACCUGCAGCCUAAAGGACGCCCUGCCAGCCCUCUGUUCUCAUUCCUUGGGCUUUAACAGGGCCAGGUGGGAAUUGGGGAUUAUGCCUGCGUGUGUGAGUGUGUGUGUGUGAGAGAGAGAGGAGACAGAACAGACCAUGCUAUCUCCCCACUCCUAAACCUGCCCUGUUCUGGAGUAGAGGGACAAGGAUCUCUCUUCCUUGAAAUUCUAAACAGCAGCUAGACUCUUUCAGCCCUGCAGUGACUGCAGAGUUCCGGGUUGGCUGAGGUUAUUCUCAAUGGGAUGAGAGACCUGGACAAAGCAGAGCAGUUACUGCUGGAAACAAAGAGCUCAAUCAGCAAAGUUAAAAGCAAAACGAAAACACUUCCAGGUUUGCGUCUGCAGUGUGAAGACCCCUGGACGAAGGGGCGAGGUCUGGGGCGUUGCCAGGUCCUCCUCCCACAGGCAUGGGAGGUGCUUGUACAUGAGGGGUAUGGGACUCCAUGACAUUUCCAGAUAGUUCUGGAAGACUCUGUGAGCUGUCUUCGUGCCCAGCGCUGCUGUGAAGGGAGCCCUUACAGAUGCCAACCCUGCUUCCUAGCUGUAAACCUAGACAAGUUUUUGAAAAAUAUCUGCUGGACAUAGAAAGUACCGGUCAUUCAUUUGUGCUCUUGCUGAUUUCUGUUUCCUCAAGAGGUUUCCCCCAAAUGUCAUUGACUUUCAGUGAAGGAAGAGCCCCUUGCCCUGCAACACACCGCCAGGCCCAGGGAGGUGGAGCCUGCUUCCUCCAACAGCACUGUCUGACAGCCCCUCCCUGGGCCCCAACAGCACUAGAAGCACAAGUCCAGGAUCCCUGCUGUGGAUUUUUUUUUAGUUUUUUUUUUUGAGUCAAGGAGGCAAAAAAGUAACACACAAUGAAGACAAAAGGAAGAAAUGCCUGAAAAGGGACAUAGUGAUGCUUGGACAGUGCUCACCAGGGCCUGGCAUCAGAAGGGCCCGGCGGUUAUUACUGGCACAGAUGAGUUUCACUUCAGUUUCUUGGGGUGACAGGGAGAGAAGCCGCUAGAGGUACAUGAAUAGAGAAGGCGACAGCCCGGCUGCUUCCUUACCUCUGCAUUUCUUCAGGCUCUCUGUGAUGGCAUCAUGCCUUGAUUUCCUUUCCUUGAGUUUCUUCUCCAGAUCUGGAGGAAUCAACUCUGAGUCAAGGAAUUGAAACCCUUGACUCUUACAAAGACACAGCUGAGCUGGGGCUGAGGGGAAGGGAGGACAUGGAUGUGGACAGUGACAUGGAAAGGGGGGCGCGUGUGUGGGUGAACUGGGAAUGAGAGGCCAGAGCUAGGGAAAUGGGGCCAGGGAAGAGGAGACAUGGAAGUGAAAGUUAGAACAGCUGGAGAGAUGGAGGAAAGAGAGAGCAGGUGUCAGACCCCCCCCCCAGGUGGAAGAGAAAACUUGCCAGACAAUGCAGUUACACAUCCUGCAAGAUGCAAAGGAUAACAGGAAGCUAAGUUGGGUUCGAGAAAAGCAGCUUGACCCAUGCAGCAACAUCUGCGGGCCUAGAUACCCCUGGAGACCACCAGACGCCCUCCACCCUAGAUCAAAAGACUUCCUCCACUCCAGGACAAAAAUUUCCACUCCUCCUGGCAGCACCCCUCCCCUACCCAAAGUCCCCUAUAAAAAAGUUUCCCCUCACCCAAGCCCCCAGGGUCAAUGGCUUUGUCACCCUUGACUAGCCUGCACCCAAGCUGGAAAUAAAACCUAGCUUGUUGCUUCAUUUUUGCCUGCUCUGGUGGUCUCGGGCAUGCCUCAGUUUACCCUAACAGCAGGGGAGAAGGGAGAUGGAGUAGGGAACUUGGAACCACCCAGUGAAGCAAGGGGACACACAGGAGGCGCCAGGAAAUUGAAGACUGCUGAAGAACCAGGAAGCUAGAGAAACAGCUGUUUUCUUCACCAAGUGGCCCACAUGCUAAGGUUUUUGGCUCAGGCCUUCUGCACCCACAGCCUGGUUAGUGGAUUGCGGAGUCAGAAUGUGCAGAGCAUUUGGGGGAAUGCGAAGUGUGCUGCAGCCACAAACGAAUAGGUAGGCAUAGUGUGGGACAGCCUGUCAUAACUGCACAGUAUAACCUAAUGUCCUAGAAGAGAAAGAGAUGGCACAGCCUCAGGGCUUGGCUGCAUCACAGACCCCUGGCUGGGGGUCUCCACUUCCCCACCUCGCCUCCCACCCACCCUGGAGGGGAGCUCCAGAAGCGCCCGACACCAGGUGGACAGUGAAUGGAUUAGACCGGCAGAGAAUCCAAGCAAAGAGGAGGAGAGGAAAAUAAGAUUCGGAAGAUGACAUUCAUUUCACUGAACCUGGGGAGCCUUGCAAGCAGAAUGUAUGGAAGGCUGGAGAGGCUUUACAGGGUGUUUCUUAAAAGAAAGACUCUUGACCUGGUGGGGCUGGGAUGCGUGCAGGGGAGACCAGCUCAGCUUGCUUUGUGCACCACCACACCUGUACUGUCCAAUGUGGUGGCACCAAACAUGGUACCGACACCUCAAACAUGGCUGGAGCAACGAGGAACCACGUCUUAAAGGACUCUAACUCAGGACCUUGCGCUUGCCGGCCCGACGACGUAGUGCCGCUGAGCUACAUCCCUGGCCCUCACUUCCUAUUGCUGAGUUACACACGAGUGAGGCCGAUGUGUUUGUGCUGGACGGCGCUGGGCUGAGGGAGACGACUGAGACGGUCUUCCCACCAGGUUCUUGGGGCCCUAACCAGCGACGAUAGGAGGCUGCCAGCCGGCUGCAACUCCGCCGUCAAGGGGCCCUCGCCGGGCAGCCGUCUGGGCGGCGUCCGCUGCCGGGACCUGAGGGAGCCCCUGAGCGUCUUGAGAGAGUCCGGCUGCAGCUCAGCGCGCAGAUGCAGCGCGUCCCGCGCUGCACAUUCGCAUCCGGCCAGCGGAGCCGCAACAGCAGGACAUGCUCUCCUCCUCCAAACCUGCCACAGGGGAUCAAAUUCCACGGGGAUCCUGAGCCUCUCAACCGCCACUCAGGUCUAGGGACAAGGGAAAGGGACACAGGGAGGAGAGGGUGGCCCCCAACUCCUCCUAGCCCACUCUACUCAGUCUUUGAAAGUGUUAGGCUUAUACCAAAUGCCUUGCUGAGCAUCGCCCCGCGGCUGAUCUGCAGGGAGGGAGGGAAAGGGCAGGAGGGCCCCCCAGGUUUCUAACCAGGUGGGCAGCAGCUCCUCCCAGUCUCCCUGCCGAGACUGAGGGGCUGGGCAGCUUCGCGGCAGAGAGCCAGGGAGGCUGCGUGGACGCGAGCUCUGCCGGGCAGGAAGAGGAAACAGGAGCAGGGGGAAAAGAUUCUUCACGUUGGAGGAGCGGGAGGAGGGAAACAAGGAGGGAAAAGAAAGUAAGCAAACAACGGAAAAGAGUAAAGAUUCAAAUGCAGGGGCACUGUAGAGGGAAACGGGUGGGCAGUCCUGUCUACCCUGCCACCUUUGGAGGGCCAGUGUGUGCUUGAACGUGUGUGCUGCUUAUAAAACAGGGCAAGUGCUCCGGAGCUUUGGACUAAGUAAAGAAAUGUUCAUGAGGCAAUUGACAGACCCAAAGGACCAGGGCACCAAAGCCCACUUGAAGGUGACUUCCUGUCAGCUUCAGGUAAGGAAUGCAGAGGCUAAUGCUUCCCAGAAGGUCACAGCGGCUGUAACUCCUCGAAAACAAGACCUAACCAGAAAACAGGCCUUGGUGUGAUUUUCAGGAUGUUCAUCAUAGCAGCCCUACCCCCAAAAUAAGUCCCAGCUGAGAUCAGCAGCCAGAUGGGCACAUUAGUAAUUAAAUAUAAAUAAUACUUAAAAUACUUGAACCACCAGGUGUGGUGGCGCACACCUGUGAUCCUGGCACUGGAGAGGCUGACGCAGGAGGAUCACAGCGAGUUCGAGGCCAGGCAGGGCUACAUAGUGAGACUCUGUCUCAAAAAAACCCAAACAAACCAAAGCAAACACCUUGAUACUUAAAUGAUAAUCAUUAACACUUAAAUAAAUAAUAAUAAAACUAUAAUUAAGUAUUUGUAAAUAGCCAAGCAGGCACAAGAGGUAAACUCAAGAAUUAUUGCUGCAUGACCAGAGUACAGACACAACAUGUGAAUAACAUGCACACUUGAUAAAUAGAUGAGAUUGUUUGACAUGAAUCUUAAUAAUUCAAUACACUGUGUAUUAUAACAGACACACUUAAUGCACUUGUGUGAAAUAAACAUUUUCUGAAUUUUGGUGCCUGC